GAUGAACGCUGGCGGCGUGCCUAAUACAUGCAAGUCGAGCGAAUGGAUUAAGAGCUUGCUCUUAUGAAGUUAGCGGCGGACGGGUGAGUAACACGUGGGUAACCUGCCCAUAAGACUGGGAUAACUCCGGGAAACCGGGGCUAAUACCGGAUGACAUUUUGAACCGCAUGGUUCGAAAUUGAAAGGCGGCUUCGGCUGUCACUUAUGGACGGACGCGCGGCGCAUUAGCUAGUUGGUGAGGUAACGGCUCACCAAGGCAACGAUGCGUAGCCGACCUGAGAGGGUGAUCGGCCACACUGGGACUGAGACACGGCCCAGACUCCUACGGGAGGCAGCAGUAGGGAAUCUUCCGCAAUGGACGAAAGUCUGACGGAGCAACGCCGCGUGAGUGAUGAAGGCUUUCGGGUCGUAAAACUCUGUUGUUAGGGAAGAACAAGUGCUAGUUGAAUAAGCUGGCACCUUGACGGUACCUAACCAGAAAGCCACGGCUAACUACGUGCCAGCCGCCGCAGUAA
rnacentral:rRNA from 1 species